AAUUAUGGUGGGCUGGAUUGGGCAGCUUAUGCUGGCCGCGCUCCUGAGCAAGCGGUAGGACCAACCCGAUUCAGUUCACCACCCAA
rnacentral:antisense_RNA from 1 species